GACGAACGCUGGCGGCGUGCUUAACACAUGCAAGUCGAACGGUGAAGGGACCAGCUUGCUGGUUCUGGAUGAGUGGCGAACGGGUGAGUAACACGUGAGUAACCUGCCCCCUUCUUCUGGAUAACCGCAUGAAAGUGUGGCUAAUACGGGAUAUUCUGGGUCUGUCGCAUGGCGGGCCCGGGAAAGAUAUUGCUUCGGUGGGGGAUGGGCUCGCGGCCUAUCAGCUUGUUGGUGGGGUGAUGGCCUACCAAGGCGGUGACGGGUAGCCGGCCUGAGAGGGUGGACGGUCACACUGGGACUGAGACACGGCCCAGACUCCUACGGGAGGCAGCAGUGGGGAAUAUUGCACAAUGGGCGCAAGCCUGAUGCAGCGACGCCGCGUGAGGGAUGGAGGCCUUCGGUGUGUAAACCUCUUUCGCCAGUGAAGCAGGCCUGCUCCUUGUGGGUGGGUUGACGGUAGCUGGAGAAGAAGCGCCGGCUAACUACGUG
rnacentral:rRNA from 1 species